rnacentral:lncRNA from 1 species
GGGGGAGGGGACGGGGUUGGGGGGAAUUACCAUUAGCAGUUGAAGUGGUAGGAAAUUUUUACAUAGGAGAGUAUGGUGAUCAUAUUUGCAUUUUAGAAAAUAAUGGAUAGCAGUUUGUUAGGGGAACAAAGGACAGAGACAGGGAGACUAUUUAAAACAUUAAUAAAAAAUACCAGUGACAGAUGAUGAGGCACCUACCUGAUGGGAAUGGAGAAGAGGAGAUGGAUUCAGAAACUACUUAGGAGAGGCAGGCAGUCCAAGGCUGAUGCCCAAAGAAGCCAUCAAGACCCGUGCUACUUCCAGCUCCUUCUGUCCUCAUAAUCAUAGAUGAUUGCUCCACAUCCAGGGUGGAAUGCAAUGGUAUGAACACAAGGCUCACUACAACCUCUACCUCCUGGGCUCAAGCGAUCCUCUCACCACAGCCUCCUGAGUAGCUAGGACUACAGCACCUAACACCAGUACUCAGUUAAAUUUUUUGCUGAAUAAAUCAAUGAAUGGAGAGGUAAAGAGGAACCAGAAGUUGGGGUUACAGAAGUCACUGAUGGAAGAGUUUCAAGAUAGUAGAAGUGGUCAGCCCUGUUAAGUGACAAGCCAAGGACUGAAGAAAGACUGGCAGAUUUGGCAAUCAGAUGAAGUGACCUGACCAAAGAGCAGCUUGUGUGAAGUAGUGAGGACAGGCGCUGGUCUGCGACUGGUUUAGGAGGAAAUGGAAAUGAAGAAGAAGAGAUAGGAAAGUGGAGAUUAUAUGAUGACAAGUAUCAAGAUAAAAAUGAACACAUUUGGCCUGCUACCUGAAUUUUUUAAAUCGGCUCACCAAAAAAUAUCAGGCUUAUUGAAAUAUUGGAAUAUCUGAUGAAGUUUCCUCUUAUCUUUGAGCUGUUUGGGUUUGGGUAAAAUUUCAAUGCUUAAAAUUCACGUCUACAACUAGCAGGCAGAACCUUAAAGUCCAGAACCAUUAAAGGGUUUAAUAAUGGUGAGGC